rnacentral:tRNA from 1 species
UAGCUCAGUUGGUAAAGAAUCUGCCUGUAAUGCAGGAGACCCUGGUUCAAUUCCUGG